GAGAUACUACUCGUAGGUAACCAUCAAACAGUUCAAGAACUUAUACUCAUGGCUUAAACAUGUGAAAAGCACCUUACCAAGAGAUUAAAAUCUAUACAAAGAACCCAUGGUCAUCAUCCAAUUCUUCUUGUCCCAAAGGAGCAACAUGGCCAUCAUUACGUAAGCCUCAUCAUCAUUCGUAUCAUCAUCAGGUUCGAGUCUCUUUAUCACUAAAAGAACAACAACUACUCUUCUCUUCUCUUCAUCACCAAACUGUUAGUGUUGGGCACUAGCUUUUGUUCUCAUUUGCCACAACAGAUGACACUAUGCAGGGGUGCCUUGUUUGAACCUGUUUCACAUCAGAUUAAACUUCAGGAGAGAUACUACUCGUAGGUAACCAUAAAAAAAGUUCAGGGUAUUAUAUUCAUGGCUUAAACAUGUGAAAAGCACCUUACCAAGAGAUUAAAAACUAUACAAAGAACCCCUGGUCAUCAUCCGAUUCUUCUUGUCCCAAAGGAGCAACAUGGCCAUCAUUUACGUAAGCCUCAUCAUCAUCUGUAUCAUCAUCAGAUUUGAACUAGACAUCUUCAAACUCAAUAGGUUUUAUAUUUUCUAUGACCGAAACAUCAACGCUGGAUCCUUCGUCAUCAUUUCUAC
rnacentral:lncRNA from 1 species